GAUGAACGCUGGCGGCGUGCCUAAUACAUGCAAGUCGAUCGAACGGACGAGAAGCUUGCUUCUCUGAUGUUAGCGGCGGACGGGUGAGUAACACGUGGAUAACCUACCUAUAAGACUGGGAUAACUUCGGGAAACCGGAGCUAAUACCGGAUAAUAUUUUGAACCGCAUGGUUCAAAAGUGAAAGACGGUCUUGCUGUCACUUAUAGAUGGAUCCGCGCUGCAUUAGCUAGUUGGUAAGGUAACGGCUUACCAAGGCAACGAUGCAUAGCCGACCUGAGAGGGUGAUCGGCCACACUGGAACUGAGACACGGUCCAGACUCCUACGGGAGGCAGCAGUAGGGAAUCUUCCGCAAUGGGCGAAAGCCUGACGGAGCAACGCCGCGUGAGUGAUGAAGGUCUUCGGAUCGUAAAACUCUGUUAUUAGGGAAGAACAUAUGUGUAAGUAACUGUGCACAUCUUGACGGUACCUAAUCAGAAAGCCACGGCUAACUACGUG
rnacentral:rRNA from 1 species